UUCAUUGCAGCUAUUGUGGAUCUGCAGGACAUAACAUUGCUGGAUGCAAAGAUUUCAAACUAGGCCUAAAACCAAAGAAAAAGGGACAAAAGAAGAGAGUUAGAGCAGAGCCAGAGGUUUCGUCAUCUGAUGAAGAAGCUCCUGUCAUUACACAAGAGCAAAACUUGCAAACUAGGGAGUUGGCACAACAUGAUCCACUUAAUAAUGAGGAUAGUGUCAUUUCUUCAUUGAUCGAAGAGCAUCAAGCAAGCCAGAACAUGGAGCAACCUGAACCAGGACCUCUGCCAGGAUCUUCUUUUAUUGCAAAUCAUGUCCAAAGCCAACCCCCUGUGCAACCAACUACCAUAACAAAAGAGGGGAAUGUUAUUAGAAAGAGGGAAGUUCUAGCAUUAGCUAAACUAAGGGCAGCAGCUGAGAAGAGAGAAAUUGUAGACCAGGCAAAAUUUGAUGCAGCAAUGGCAAAACUUAGAGAAGAAGAGUUGAAGAUUUUGCAAGCUGAGCAGAAGAGGAAAGAGGAAGCGGUGGCAAAAAAGCUGGAGAAAGAGGAGAAACGGAAAGCUUUGUUGCAACAAAAACAAUUGGAUGCUGAAGAAAAAAGAAAAGCAGCCGAGGAAAGAAAGCAAAAGGCACAACAGGAAAAAGAAGCAA